rnacentral:rRNA from 1 species
AACGCGUUAAGUCGACCGCCUGGGGAGUACGGCCGCAAGGUUAAAACUCAAAUGAAUUGACGGGGGCCCGCACAAGCGGUGGAGCAUGUGGUUUAAUUCGAUGCAACGCGAAGAACCUUACCUGGUCUUGACAUCCACGGAAGUUUUCAGAGAUGAGAAUGUGCCUUCGGGAACCGUGAGACAGGUGCUGCAUGGCUGUCGUCAGCUCGUGUUGUGAAAUGUUGGGUUAAGUCCCGCAACGAGCGCAACCCUUAUCCUUUGUUGCCAGCGGUCCGGCCGGGAACUCAAAGGAGACUGCCAGUGAUAAACUGGAGGAAGGUGGGGAUGACGUCAAGUCAUCAUGGCCCUUACGACCAGGGCUACACACGUGCUACAAUGGCGCAUACAAAGAGAAGCGACCUCGCGAGAGCAAGCGGACCUCAUAAAGUGCGUCGUAGUCCGGAUUGGAGUCUGCAACUCGACUCCAUGAAGUCGGAAUCGCUAGUAAUCGUGGAUCAGAAUGCCACGGUGAAUACGUUCCCGGGCCUUGUACACACCGCCCGUCACACCAUGGGAGUGGGUUGCAAA